UCACUUUUUUUUUUUUUUUUUUCACUCAGACCCUCUUCUUCUCUAUCCCAAGAGACCCACGAUCCCCAAACUCCAUUAAGGACAAGAAUGAGGACUUAAUCGAGAGACUGCCAUCCAGUGGUUGGGCAACAACCAGUUGUCGGAUGCCAAUCAGUUCGAAGACAAGAUGGAGUUGGAGAGCAUCUGCAACCCAAGCACAAGAACCUUUUGGUCGAUGAAUAGGAAGAGGAAAUUACAAGGGAAUUGAUUGAAAUUGCUUAGAUUCAGAAACCCUAAGAUCUUGCAGUGGUUGUUUUGAUGGAACCGCCGAUAAUGAUAUUGUUCGAAGAAGCGAAUCUUCAAAUGAGGAGAACGAAGAGGAAGAGGAAAGACCACCAAACUUGAGGCGUGAGUGAAAGAUUUGCACCCGUGGGGACCCGUAGGAACCGGCCCGUUUCAAAAGGGCCGGGUUAGGUCCGGAUCCUAUUUUGAAAUCCAAAACCUGCCCCGCCCCACCCUGUUGUAUUUACAAACGGGUCCGGUCCGGUUUCUUCAAUUUUGGGCCCGGCCCAGCCCGUGCCCACCCCUACACUAAAUACUUCUUUUCCCACCAUUUAUGGAUUAUAAAAAGGGAAGUGUUAUUGACACUCCAAAAAUCUCAUUCUACACUUCUCACAAGUGUAUUUUUCUUUCCUAAUAUAAAAAGUUUGGAGUGUAGAAUGAGAUUUUUAGAAUACUAAUAACAAUUCCCUAUAAUAAAAAAGCAAAUGGACAGCCAUUUCUAACAUUA